CGGCCCUCCCGGGAUUGGUGGAAGGAUCGUGGGGGAGCGGCAGCUCAGGACGGAAUACGGCAGUGACCGCCCCGGUCGCGAGGGUGACCCUGCCCCGGGUUGCUGUGGGGGCGCAAGAACCCUUUCACUUUACGGCGAGAUUAAGCUCAGGGUCAAGUUCUGAGCAAAAAGUGUCAAGGAGCCUUUUUGCAGCCUCCUGUACUAUUGAAACAGAUUCUGUGCCCUUUAAAGGAGAUAAUAACUAACAUCUGGGGAGGGCUUUACAAUUUAGAAAAGGCCUUUCACACACAGGCCUGUUUUAUCUUCACAACAAUCUUAUAAAAUAGAUAUAUUGUUCCCAUUUCCCAAAUAAUGAAACCGAAGCGCUGAAAAUAUCUCCUAUAGGGCUCUUCAAACUGUGGUCAACUUAGUAAAUGAUGUUGACAGUGGAAGUGUGAUAAUUUUAUUUUCCUGCCUUUGGAAUUGAAGAAUGUAAUUUUGCAAAAAUUUUGUUGAAGAUGAUGUAACUUUGGUUCAGAGAGCUCCAAAUCUCUUCUUCAGCCUCUCAAACAUGGUGCCAUCCCUAAUGAAGUCAACAGGGGUCCAGCAUGACAGGAUAGAAGUACAAGUGUCAGCAUCUAUGUGGGUCCCAAGAGGGGAAAUUAGAAACAAAAAGGAAGAAGAGAACAUAGGCCAGGCACGGUGGUUCAUGCCUGUAAUCCCAACACUUUGGGAGGCCAAGGUAGGCGGAUCGCCUGAGGUCAGGAGUUCAAGACCAGCGUGGUCAACAUGGCGAGAGCCUGUCUCUACUAAAAAAUACAAAAAAUUAGCCAGGCAUGGUGGUGGGAGCCUGUAAUCCCAGCUACUUGGGAGGCUG